UACGUAGGGUGCGAGCGUUGUCCGGAAUUAUUGGGCGUAAAGCGCGCGCAGGUGGUUUCUUAAGUCUGAUGUGAAAGCCCACGGCUCAACCGUGGAGGGUCAUUGGAAACUGGGAGACUUGAGUGCAGAAGAGGAAAGUGGAAUUCCAUGUGUAGCGGUGAAAUGCGUAGAGAUAUGGAGGAACACCAGUGGCGAAGGCGACUUUCUGGUCUGUAACUGACACUGAGGCGCGAAAGCGUGGGGAGCAAGCAGG
rnacentral:rRNA from 1 species